GACGUAGGGCGCGUGCGUUGUCCGGAUUUAUUGGGCGUAAAGAGCUCGUAGGCGGCUUGUCGCGUCGUCCGUGAAAACUUGGGGCUCAACCCCAAGCUUGCGGUCGAUACGGGCAGGCUCGAGUUCGGUAGGGGAGACUGGAAUUCCUGGUGUAGCGGUGAAAUGCGCAGAUAUCAGGAGGAACACCGGUGGCGAAGGCGGGUCUCUGGGCCGAUACUGACGCUGAGGAGCGAAAGCGUGGGGAGCGAACAGG
rnacentral:rRNA from 1 species